rnacentral:rRNA from 1 species
GACGAACGCUGGCGGCGUGCUUAACACAUGCAAGUCGAACGGAAAGGCCCUGCUUUUGUGGGGUGCUCGAGUGGCGAACGGGUGAGUAACACGUGAGUAACCUGCCCUUGACUUUGGGAUAACUUCAGGAAACUGGGGCUAAUACCGGAUAGGAGCUCCUGCUGCAUGGUGGGGGUUGGAAAGUUUCGGCGGUUGGGGAUGGACUCGCGGCUUAUCAGCUUGUUGGUGGGGUAGUGGCUUACCAAGGCUUUGACGGGUAGCCGGCCUGAGAGUGUGACCGGCCACAUUGGGACUGAGAUACGGCCCAGACGCCUACGGGAGGCAGCAGUGGGGAAUAGUGCACAAUGGGCGGAAGCCGGAUGGAGGAACGCCGCGUGCGGGAGGACGGCCUUCGGGUUGGAAACCGCUUUCGCCUGUGACGAAGCGUGAGUGACGGUAAUGGGUAAAGAAGCACCGGCUAACUACGU